GACGAACGCUGGCGGCGUGCUUAACACAUGCAAGUCGAACGAAGAGCGAUGGAAGCUUGCUUCUAUCAAUCUUAGUGGCGCACGGGUGAGUAACGCGUAAUCAACCUGCCCUUCAGAGGGGGACAACAGUUGGAAACGACUGCUAAUACCGCAUACGAUCUAAUCUCGGCAUCGAGGAUAGAUGAAAGGUGGCCUCUACAUGUAAGCUAUCACUGAAGGAGGGGAUUGCGUCUGAUUAGCUAGUUGGAGGGGUAACGGCCCACCAAGGCGAUGAUCAGUAGCCGGUCUGAGAGGAUGAACGGCCACAUUGGGACUGAGACACGGCCCAGACUCCUACGGGAGGCAGCAGUGGGGAAUCUUCCGCAAUGGACGAAAGGCUGACGGAGCAACGCCGCGUGAGCGAUGACGGCCUUCGGGUUGUAAAGCUCUGUUAAUCGGGACGAAAGGCCUUCUUGCGAAUAGUGAGAAGGAUUGACGGUACCGGAAUAGAAAGCCACGGCUAACUACGUG
rnacentral:rRNA from 1 species